GAUGAACGCUGGCGGCGUGCCUAAUACAUGCAAGUCGAGCGAACAGACGAGGAGCUUGCUCCUCUGACGUUAGCGGCGGACGGGUGAGUAACACGUGGAUAACCUACCUAUAAGACUGGGAUAACUUCGGGAAACCGGAGCUAAUACCGGAUAAUAUAUUGAACCGCAUGGUUCAGUAGUGAAAGACGGUUUUGCUGUCACUUAUAGAUGGAUCCGCGCUGCAUUAGCUAGUUGGUAAGGUAACGGCUUACAAAGGAAACGACGCGUAGCCGACGUGAGAGGGUGAUCGGCCACACGGAAACUGAGACGCGGCCCAGACUCCUACGGGGGGCAGCAGGAGGGAAUCUGCCGCAAUGGGCGAAAGCGUGACGGAGAAACGCCGCGUGAGUGAUGAAGGUCUGCGGAUCGUAAAACUCUGUUAUUAGGGAAGAACAAAUGUGUAAGUAACGAUGCACGUCUGGACGGUACCGAAGCAGAAAGCCACGGCUACCUACGG
rnacentral:rRNA from 1 species